rnacentral:rRNA from 1 species
CCUACGGGGGGCAGCAGUCGAGAAUCAUUCACAAUGGGGGAAACCCUGAUGGUGCGACGCCGCGUGGGGGAAUGAAGGUCUUCGGAUUGUAAACCCCUGUCACGUGGGAGCAAAUUAAAAAGAUAGUACCACAAGAGGAAGAGACGGCUAACUCUGUGCCAGCAGCCGCGGUAAUACAGAGGUCUCAAGCGUUGUUCGGAAUCACUGGGCGUAAGGCGUGCGUAGGCUGUUUCGUAAGUCGUGUGUGAAAGGCGCGGGCUCAACCCGCGGACGGCACAUGAUACUGCGAGACUAGAGUAAUGGAGGGGGAACCGGGAUUCUCGGUGUAGCAGUGAAAUGCGUAGAUAUCGAGAGGAACACUCGUGGCGAAGGCGGGUUCCUGGACAUUAACUGACGCUGAGGCACGAAGGCCAGGGGAGCGAAAGGGAUUAGAUACCCGGGUAGUC